UUUAUUGGAGAGUUUGAUCCUGGCUCAGGAUGAACGCUGGCGGCGUGCCUAAUACAUGCAAGUCGAGCGAAUGGAUUAAGAGCUUGCUCUUAUGAAGUUAGCGGCGGACGGGUGAGUAACACGUGGGUAACCUGCCCGUAAGACUGGGAUAACUCCGGG
rnacentral:rRNA from 1 species